UGGGGGUAGAGCUCUCAGGAUAAUGGUGCCACUGCCUUUCUGAUAGUUUUCUUAUCUUCACCAAGUCUUUAGACAUUUUCUGUGGCGCAGAAAGGCUCCCCAGCUCCUA